CACUCCUGCGAGGCAGCAGUGGGGAAUAUUGGACAAUGGGCGCAAGCCUGAUCCAGCCAUGCCGCGUGAGUGAUGAAGGCCCUAGGGUUGUAAAGCUCUUUCACCGGUGAAGAUAAUGACGGUAACCGGAGAAGAAGCCCCGGCUAACUUCGUGCCAGCAGCCGCGGUAAUACGAAGGGGGCUAGCGUUGUUCGGAUUUACUGGGCGUAAAGCGCACGUAGGCGGACUAUUAAGUCAGGGGUGAAAUCCCGGGGCUCAACCCCGGAACUGCCUUUGAUACUGGUAGUCUUGAGUUCGAGAGAGGUGAGUGGAAUUCCGAGUGUAGAGGUGAAAUUCGUAGAUAUUCGGAGGAACACCAGUGGCGAAGGCGGCUCACUGGCUCGAUACUGACGCUGAGGUGCGAAAGCGUGGGGAGCAAACAGGAUUAGAUACCCCAGUAGUCCC
rnacentral:rRNA from 1 species